rnacentral:rRNA from 1 species
CCUACGGGAGGCAGCAGUAAGGAAUUUUCGUCAAUGGGGGAAACCCUGAACGAGCAACGCCGCGUGGAGGAUGACGGUUUUCGGAUUGUAAACUCCUUUUGUAUGGGACGAUAAUGACGGUACCAUACGAAUAAGCCCCGGCUAACUCUGUGCCAGCAGCCGCGGUAAUACAGAGGAGGCAAGCGUUGUCCAGAAUUACUGGGCGUAAAGCGCACGCAGGUGGUCACGCAAGUGGUGUGUGAAACCAAUCAGCUUAACUGAUUGACGCCAUGCCAAACUGCGAGACUUGAGGGAUGGAGAGGUUGUUCGAAUUGCUGGUGUAGUGGUGAAAUGCGUAGAGAUCAGCAGGAAGACCAAGGGCGAAAGCAGACAACUGGCCAUCACCUGACACUGAGGUGCGAAAGCGUGGGGAGCGAACUGGAUUAGAUACCCAGGUAGUCCACGCCGUAAACGAUGUAUGCUCGGUAUCUGGGCUGUUACAGGCUUGGGUACCUCAGGAAACCCGGUAAGCAUACCGCCUGGGAAGUACGAACGCAAGUUUAAAACUCAAAGGAAUUGACGGAA